GCUUGCUAAUAAUUCUCUAGUGGCGCACGGGUGAGUAACACGUGAGUACCUGCCCCCAAGAGUGGGAUAGCCCCGGGAAACUGGGAUUAAUACCGCAUAAAGCAAUAAAGCAGCAAUGCGCUUGGGGAUGGGCUCGCGUCCUAUUAGUUAGUUGGUGAGGUAACGGCUCACCAAGGCGAUGACGGGUAGCCGGUCUGAGAGGAUGUCCGGCCACACUGGAACUGAGACACGGUCCAGACACCUACGGGUGGCAGCAGUCGAGAAUCAUUCACAAUGGGGGAAACCCUGAUGGUGCGACGCCGCGUGGGGGAUAAGGUCUUCGGAUUGUAAACCCCUGUCAUGUGGGACAUUAAAAGAUAGUACCACAAGAGGAAGAGACGGCUAACUCUGUGCCAGCAGCCGCGGUAAUACAGAGGUCUCAAGCGUUGUUCGGAAUCACUGGGCGUAAAGCGUGCGUAGGCGGUUUCGUAAGUCGUGUGUGAAAGGCGGGGGCUCAACCCCCGGACUGCACAUGAUACUGCGAGACUAGAGUAAUGGAGGGGGAACCGGAAUUCUCGGUGUAGCAGUGAAAUGCGUAGAUAUCGAGAGGAACACUCGUGGCGAAGGCGGGUUCCUGGACAUUAACUGACGCUGAGGCACGAAGGCCAGGGGAGCGAAAG
rnacentral:rRNA from 1 species